CCUAGAUGAGUAUUCUUACUCCAUAAACA
rnacentral:tRNA from 1 species